AAAUAUGAGGGUGACCUGGCUGUGACAAGCCACCCCACUGAUCGUCAGUUUUUUUUUUCAACUGAUCACACUGGCUUGUUGGGUGUCCCCUUUAUCCUCCACCGUUGCAUGUCUGUUCUUCCUAAAGCAGUAUGUUCAGGCAAAAAGGACACUUGGUCUGUGUGUUUCUGAACAUCAUAGGAUGUCCCACAUUGACGUCUGUUUAGGUUAAUAUUAAACGUUUAGUUUAUCUGAACCCCCUAGAGUUGAAGAAAUUGCACAUAAAAUUCACAAUAGCAACAAGAUGUACUCGUCUUGGACCUCAUGCUCCUUUAAAAAAGCAUUUCUAUUU
rfam:Mesocricetus auratus contig025253, whole genome shotgun sequence.